ACAAAAUGAAAACAAUAUCACUAUUAAUGUGUGUACUUACACACUGUAAAUGAGUCAUCUUUUUUCGACUACUGACCGAACCCUCAAACAAAGAUACUAGAUUAUUUUCUAAACGGUUCGGUCAGUUAACAAAAGUAUUUUAUAGUUUUUCUCUAGGUGUCCUAAUUUCAAGUCUCUAUGAAUAUUUUUAACUGAAUUAUAAAAAAAAAUUAAUAAAA